rnacentral:rRNA from 1 species
UACAGAGGGUGCAAACGUUGUUCGGAUUUACUGGGCGUAAAGCGCGUGUAGGCUGCUUCGCAAGUCGGAUGUGAAAGCCCUGGGCUCAACCAUGACGGUAGCAUUCGAAACUGCAGAGCUGGAGUCCUGGAGAGGAAGGCGGAAUUCUCGGUGUAGAGGUGAAAUUCGUAGAUAUCGAGAGGAACACCGGUGGCGAAGGCGGCCUUCUGGACAGUGACUGACGCUGAGACGCGAAAGCGUGGGGAGCAAACAGG